AAAAUAUGGGGAUACGAUUAAAAAGGAUUCGAAUUUUGGAUAUGAAUACGGGGAUUCGUCGUACAAUUUUUAUGAAUUUAUUCAAAAUUGAUAAUUGUAACUUAAACUAUUGAAUCAAACAAAUUUAAAAUUAAAUAUUAAACUAAUCUUAUCUUAAAUAAAACAAUAAAUCACUUCAAUUACAAUAAAUAAUAUAACUUGGAAGAGACUAGAGACAACCCCUAAUUUAUGGCAGCAUGAAUUGUUGACUUUUAAACCACCUAAUUUAGCUCCCGUUUGACCUCCAUUAAUUUUCAUUACAUUACAUUACAUUUUUCUCUCUCCUAUUUUCAACCACACAAUUUUUCAUAAAAUAAUAUUAUACAUAAAUCAAAAACUUUUCCUUCCUUUUCAAUCACUCAUUUUUCAAAAAAAUACUAUUCCACCCGUUUUCAUUUUCCGAAAAUGGGGGCCAAACAGGGGCUUACUCAUUUCAUUAACUUAUUCAUUGGGCUCCACAAAAUCCCAUUUAACACAUACUCAAAACCUUUCAUCUUCCCCAAACCCAUCUCGUCUUCUCCAACUCUUAUCUUCCCUCUCUGCAAUUUGUAAAUGCUGCUGCCAUGUUACACUCGUCCAUAAAUUUUUUCAUAUUACUAUCACCGGACUCGAAAUAAACGGGUUUCCUGCCGCCACAACCGCAAGCCAGAAGCAAUACUCCGCCGUCCAUUGUCUUCUCCAUUUUCUAGCCGUGUCCGAGUUCAAAGCCAAGAAUUCGACCCAUAUCUCGUGUCGAUAUCCGUGUCAUGUUGUGUCGACACGGAUACUUCUUCAUUUUUGGAGAGUCCGAGCAUCAUAGAAUAUGAUUCAGUUAUCUUUAAUCAUCUUUGUGGCAUACACGAUGAAUGAUAACAGAUAAGUAUGGAAUUGCUUCAAGCAUCAUGUCACUGAAGAAUAGGAAGUGUUAGAUUAAUCUUAUUUAGUUUAUUCCCAACUAUGCAGAAGAAUAUAUUUCUGUCCUAUUUAUAGAAUAAUAUGUAGACUUUUCUGAUG
rnacentral:lncRNA from 1 species